rnacentral:rRNA from 1 species
GACAGAGGGUGCAAGCGUUAUUCGGAAUUAUUGGGCGUAAAGGGCGCGCAGGCGGCCACGCACGUCCGUUGUGAAAUCGCCCGGCUCAACUGGGCGGGUCGGCGGAUACGGCGUGGCUGGAGCAAGCUAGGGGUAGUGGAAUUCCCGGUGUAGUGGUGGAAUGCGUAGAUAUCGGGAAGAACACCAGUGGCGAAGGCGACUCACUGGACAUGUAUUGACGCUGAGGUGCGAAAAGCGUGGGGAGCAACAGGG